UUCUUUUCUGAUUCCUCAAAGUCCUGCAUGGGGUGGAGGCAGAGAUAGAAGAGAAUGUAAACACUGGGUUCCACCCUCUGGAGCUUAAGGGAAGACCCCUUACCCAGAUAGGGACUGACUGGAGAGGUGGAAGGGAACAAGGUGAAAGAUGCUGUCAUCUCCCUGCUCUGCUAUGUCUUCAUUCCUCACAGUACCCGAACACAAAGCUGUGGUGUUAUCAGAGUUUUACUGAAGGUUUGGGGUCCCGAAGAGGAUUAUAACAUAGCACAAAACUCAAAACUGAACAUUGAUGAUGUCAUUAUCAAUAUCCAAAAGUUUCCUGACCAAACCCAUUUUAAGGACUGCGGUAAUUUAAAAGAUCACCCUGGGAGAAGCCAGCUACCAUGUAAUGAAGGUACUCAAGCAGCCCUGGGAAAGAACCGUGUGAAAAGAAACUGGGGCCUCCCACCAAUAGCCAGCAUCAACUUGCCAGCCACGCAUGCCAUCUUGGAAAGAUAUCCUCUAGUUCCAGCCAAGACUUUAGCCGCCUAUAACCCCAGCUGACAUCUUGAUUGCAACCUCAUGAGAAGAUCCUUAGUUGAGGGGCAACCAAACUCCUGACCCACAGAAAUUGUGAGAGAUAAUAAUGCUUAUUGUUAUUUUAAGCCACAAAGUUUUGGAGUAAUUUGCUAUGUAGCAACAGAUAAGUAAUACAGAGAGUCUCUCAUGGGCUGUUUUCUUCCGUCUUAUCUGCCAUCUUGCCUUGAUCCUUCCUCUUUUUUCAUCUCUUUUUCUUUUUUCCUUGCCAGAGCUCCCCAAACCCAGUCUCUAGAGGGAAUGCUCAAAAUUAUUGUAUUUCACUUUGCAGAGUAAUUUAAGUCUUCUUGGUCUAAACAUCUCCCAUGUAGAUUAAGCCCACGGGAUUCCAUCUUUUCGGACCAAAUAUACCUGUUAAGGUGCAAAACAGUUAAUUCUGUCUUCCUACCAGGCCCAGUGGCAUCAGGUCCAAUCAGACAGCUGCCAGCUUGCCCUAACAGAAGUAGAUAUAGGCAAAAUACUAUAAGAGCAAAAAAUAAGAAGCAUGUAAGCUGACUUGGGGGCUCAUGGAGGAGGUAAUAUUUGAGUUGAGUUUUUAAGCAUAUGUAGGAGUUCAUUUGGUAGAGAAGUGAAUGAAAGUUACUUAUGCAGAGUAACAGCAAGUAAAAAGGCUCAGAGGUGAGAAAAGUUAUAAUCAAUGCUGAGAACUUUAAAUAUGUAAGGGUUCUGGGUGACAACAUCUAUUAGUGAGCUUGGAAGCUUUUGGGGGCUAGAUAAUAUCAGACAUUGAAAGCCACAUGUAUCAGGAGACUACAGACAACGUAAAUCCCUGAUUCACUGACUUAAA